rnacentral:rRNA from 1 species
UUGUAUAAACAAUCGUUGGGUUUUAUUCUGGCUCCGAGUGAACGCUGGUAACAUAUUUUAACACAUGCAAAUCGAACGAAAGUCUUUAAGGGCUUUAGUGGUGACCUGGUGAGUAGCAUAAGAGGAUCGAAAUGUGGGUCAGGUUAAAUACCUUCCUUCUCUGCUUAGAGAAAGAUUUAUAUCGCUCGCAAUAGAACUUUUACAGGAUUAGGUAGUUGUUGUAGUAAUUAAUCAACAAGCCGACGAUGCUUAGCUGGUUUGAGAGAAUGAUCAGCCACAUUGGGACUGGAAACGGCCCAAGUCUUUGAAAAGGGCAGCAGUGGAGAAUAUUUGACAAUGGGCGAAAGCUUGAUCGAGUAAUGUUACGUGGGUGAUAAGAAGGCUUAAUUGCCGUAAAACUCGUUUCGUCAAGGAUUAUAAUGCAAUCGUACUUGAAGGAGAAGCCCUGACUAACUUCGUGCCAGCAGUCGCGGUAAUACGGAGAGGGCUAGUGUUAUUCGCAUUGACUGGGUGUAAAGGGUGCGUAGGUGGUUUAUUAAGUUUCAAGAUAAAACUUAAAUAUAGAAUUUAAAUAUCUUUUAAUACUAAUAGACUAGAGUUCAUUAGAAGAUAGCUGAACAUUAAGUGUAAAGGUGAAAUUUUCCGAUAUUUAAAGGACAUGCAAUAGGCGAAGGCUGCUAUCUAUUUUAAACUGACACUGAGGCACAAAAGCAUAGGGAUCAAACAGGAUUAGAGACCCUGGUAGUCUAUGCCCUGACCGAUGAAUAUUGAUUAUGUUGUAACAAAUGUAAUUAAGCUAACGCGUAAAUAUUCCACCUGAGUACUACGACCGCAAGGUUAAAACUCAAAGAAACUGACUGAAGAUUGUAUUAGCGGUGGAGUAUGUGGUUUAAUUUGAUAUAACGCAAAGAAUCUUACCAACCCUUGAAUACAAGUUCCUUUUUUCGAUCACGGGCUAUUUUUAGCUUGUGAUCGAGAAGGCAGACUUCUCGAUAAGGGUUUAUAUAACUCUAUCAGUCUGGACUUGUACAGGUGCUGCAUGGUUGUCGGCAGUUCGUGUUGUGAAAUGUUUUGUUAANUCAUUUAACGGACNUAACCUUCAGCUUUAUUUGUUUUAAAUAGAGCAAUUAUUAAUUUUAAAAUUGAUUGAGAGAAGAGGAAGUCAAAUCAUUAUGGCCUAUAUAGGUUGGGCUACACACGUACUACAAUGGUAAUUACAAUGUGAAGCAAAAACGUGAGUUAUAGCUAAUCAUUAAAAAUUAACCUUANUUUUAAUUACUCUCUGUAAGUCGAGAGUAUGAAGUCGGAAUCGCUAGUAAUCGCAGAAUAGAACGCUGCGGUGAAUACAUUCUCAAUCUUUGUACACACCGCCCGUCACGCCAUGGGAAUUGGUUUGGUUAGAAGUAAUACCGGUUUUAUUGUUGCUAUUUCUACAAUAUUUAUUUUUAGUCUGGUGCAGUUUAAUACGGAUCGCGACAACUAGAUCAAGGACUGGGGUGAAGUCGUAACAAGGUAGCGGUAGGGGAACC